UAUAAAUGUUAACUAUGCUCCGUAGGGGAGA
rnacentral:piRNA from 1 species